CCGAGAUUCCCCCAGUAGCGGCGAGCGAACGGGGAGCAGCCCAGAGCCUGAAUCAGUGUGUGUGUUAGUGGAAGCGUCUGGAAAGGCGCGCGAUACAGGGUGACAGCCCCGUACACAAAAAUGCACAUGCUGUGAGCUCGAUGAGUAGGGCGGGACACGUGGUAUCCUGUCUGAAUAUGGGGGGACCAUCCUCCAAGGCUAAAUACUCCUGACUGACCGAUAGUGAACCAGUACCGUGAGGGAAAGGCGAAAAGAACCCCGGCGAGGGGAGUGAAAAAGAACCUGAAACCGUGUACGUACAAGCAGUGGGAGCACGCUUAGGCGUGUGACUGCGUACCUUUUGUAUAAUGGGUCAGCGACUUAUAUUCUGUAGCAAGGUUAACCGAAUAGGGGAGCCGAAGGGAAACCGAGUCUUAACUGGGCGUUAAGUUGCAGGGUAUAGACCCGAAACCCGGUGAUCUAGCCAUGGGCAGGUUGAAGGUUGGGUAACACUAACUGGAGGACCGAACCGACUAAUGUUGAAAAAUUAGCGGAUGACUUGUGGCUGGGGGUGAAAGGCCAAUCAAACCGGGAGAUAGCUGGUUCUCCCCGAAAGCUAUUUAGGUAGCGCCUCGUGAAUUCAUCUCCGGGGGUAGAGCACUGUUUCGGCAAGGGGGUCAUCCCGACUUACCAACCCGAUGCAAACUGCGAAUACCGGAGAAUGUUAUCACGGGAGACACACGGCGGGUGCUAACGUCCGUCGUGAAGAGGGAAACAACCCAGACCGCCAGCUAAGGUCCCAAAGUCAUGGUUAAGUGGGAAACGAUGUGGGAAGGCCCAGACAGCCAGGAUGUUGGCUUAGAAGCAGCCAUCAUUUAAAGAAAGCGUAAUAGCUCACUGGUCGAGUCGGCCUGCGCGGAAGAUGUAACGGGGCUAAACCAUGCAC
rnacentral:rRNA from 1 species